ensembl:lncRNA
AUGGAGUUGUUCAUCUUCAUAGUGUUUCAGCUCCUGAUGGAGGUUCAGUCUUACAAUUCACUUCCGAAACCCAUCAUCAGUGUUAGGGAUGAUGAUGUCCAGCUCAUCAUAUCAUGUGAAAUACCACUUUCAGUCAGAGCUGAUUUUAUCUGUAGUCUCUACACUGAGGAUGAUGUUCUUCUGUAUCAACGUGUCUCUCAGUGGAAUCAGUCUGGAAAGAAUCUUUGUAUGUUUUAUGUAAGUUGUAGUGAACUCUUGACACGAUCAGUGAACAGCAGACAGCUGAUCUGUGUUUAUUCACUCAAGACUGAACCUGAGAUCAGAUCACCACGCAGUGACACAUACACCUUCAGAGACACAAUCACCAUCAGAGACACAAUCCCCAUCAGAGCUCCAACUGCAACCUCUACUGGUCAAACUGUGACAACUGCCACAAAAUCGUGUAAGUAAAGUUUAUAUAUAUAUAUAUAUAUAUAAAGACAAAUAGUGUCAUAUAAGGACAGGUAAACUGUAUAAUUGAUCAUUGUCUGUAUCUGUAUAGUUUAAUGUCUGUUGUAUCACAUCUGACUCUGACACACUGUUGAUUCUAUCAGCUGUUUUCACAGCAGCCUCUACUCUGCCUGAUUCCACCAGAGAGACAGAAACAUGUAAGAAUAUUUUUACUUUGCUUAUGAGACUAUAUUAAAUCUGUUAGAUUUUAAAUAAAAAUAAUUAUGACAUUUUUAAGACA